rnacentral:rRNA from 1 species
UCAAGCGAAUAAGUGCAUCUGGUGGAUGCCUUGGCGAUCACAGGCGAUGAAGGACGCGGUAGCCUGCGAAAAGCGACGGGGAGCUGGCAAACAAGCUUUGAUCCGUCGAUGUCCGAAUGGGGAAACCCACCUCUUUUGAGGUAUCCAUGACUGAAUACAUAGGUCAUGUGAAGCGAACCGGGAGAACUGAAACAUCUAAGUACCCCGAGGAAAAGAAAUCAACCGAGAUUCCGGAAGUAGUGGCGAGCGAAACCGGAGUAGCCUGCAUGUGAUAGCAGAGAUCUUAGUGGAACGGCAUGGAAAGGCCGGCGACAGUGGGUGAUAGCCCCGUACACGAAAGGGACUCUGUGGUACUGAGCAUGCGACAAGUAAGGCGGGACACGAGAAAUCCUGUCCGAAGACGGGGGGACCAUCCUCCAAGGCUAAAUACUCGUGAUCGACCGAUAGUGAACCAGUACCGUGAGGGAAAGGCGAAAAGAACCCCGGGAGGGGAGUGAAAUAGAACCUGAAACCGGAUGCAUACAAACAGUGGGAGCCUCUGAAAAUGGGGUGACUGCGUACCUUUUGUAUAAUGGGUCAGCGACUUACGUUCAGUAGCAAGCUUAACCGCAUAGGGGAGGCGCAGGGAAACCGAGUCCGAACAGGGCGCACAGUUGCUGGGCGUAGACCCGAAACCAGGUGAUCUAUCCAUGGCCAGGAUGAAGGUGCGGUAACACGCACUGGAGGUCCGAACCCACUAGUGUUGCAAAACUAGGGGAUGAGCUGUGGAUAGGGGUGAAAGGCUAAACAAACCUGGAAAUAGCUGGUUCUCCCCGAAAACUAUUUAGGUAGUGCCUCAGGUAUUACUGACGGGGGUAAAGCACUGUUAUGGCUAGGGGGUCAUCGCGACUUACCAAACCAUGGCAAACUCUGAAUACCGUCAAGUAUCAGCCUGGGAGACAGACAUCGGGUGCUAACGUCCGGUGUCAAGAGGGAAACAACCCAGACCGCCGUCUAAGGUCCCAAAUGACAUGUUAAGUGGAAAACGAGGUGGGAAGGCACAGACAGCCAGGAUGUUGGCUUAGAAGCAGCCAUCAUUUAAAGAAAGCGUAAUAGCUCACUGGUCGAGUCGUCCUGCGCGGAAGAUGUAACGGGGCUCAAACAUGUAACCGAAGACGCGGAUGUGCAAUUUAUUGCACGUGGUAGGGGAGCGUUCCGUAGGCCUGUGAAGGUGCAUUGUAAAGUGUGCUGGAGGUAUCGGAAGUGCGAAUGCUGACAUGAGUAGCGUUAAAACGGGUGAAAAGCCCGUUCGCCGUAAGCCCAAGGUUUCCUGCGCAACGUUCAUCGGCGCAGGGUGAGUCGGCCCCUAAGGCGAGGCUGAAAAGCGUAGUCGAUGGGAAACAGGUUAAUAUUCCUGUACUUUGUAUUGGUGCGAUGUGGGGACGGAGAAGGGUAGGUCAGCCAUCUGUUGGAAUAGGUGGUUCAAGCGUGUAGGUGGGUGGCUCAGGCAAAUCCGGGCUGCUGUUAACACCGAGGCGUGAUAACGAGGUCUCAUUGAGACUGAAGUGAUUGAUCCCAUGCUUCCAGGAAAAGCCACUAAGCUUCAGCCAGUACGAAACCGUACCGCAAACCGACACUGGUGGGCAGGAUGAGAAUUCCAAGGCGCUUGAGAGAACUCAGGAGAAGGAACUCGGCAAAUUGACACCGUAACUUCGGGAGAAGGUGUGCCACUGUAGGGUGAAGCGACUUGCUCGUGGAGCCUGAAGUGGUUGCAGUGAAAAGGUGGCUGCGACUGUUUAUCAAAAACACAGCUCUCUGCAAAGACGAAAGUCGACGUAUAGGGAGUGACGCCUGCCCGGUGCUGGAAGGUUAAGUGAUGGGGUGCAAGCUCUUGAUCGAAGCCCCAGUAAACGGCGGCCGUAACUAUAACGGUCCUAAGGUAGCGAAAUUCCUUGUCGGGUAAGUUCCGACCCGCACGAAUGGCGUAACGAUGGCCACACUGUCUCCUCCUGAGACUCAGCGAAGUUGAAGUGUUUGUGAAGAUGCAAUCUCCCCGCUGCUAGACGGAAAGACCCCGUGAACCUUUACUGUAGCUUUGCAUUGGACUUUGAAGUGGUUUGUGUAGGAUAGGUGGGAGGCUUUGAAGUGGUGACGCCAGUCAUCAUGGAGCCGUCCUUGAAAUACCACCCUGACCCCUUUGAGGUUCUAACCUUGGUCCGUGAUCCGGAUCGGGGACCGUGCAUGGUAGGCAGUUUGACUGGGGCGGUCUCCUCCCAAAGUGUAACGGAGGAGCUCGAAGGUCACCUAGGUACGGUCGGACAUCGUACUGAUAGUGUAAUGGCACAAGGUGGCUUGACUGCGAGACUGACAAGUCGAGCAGGUGCGAAAGCAGGACAUAGUGAUCCGGUGGUUCUGAAUGGAAGGGCCAUCGCUCAACGGAUAAAAGGUACUCCGGGGAUAACAGGCUGAUUCCGCCCAAGAGUUCACAUCGACGGCGGAGUUUGGCACCUCGAUGUCGGCUCAUCACAUCCUGGGGCUGUAGCCGGUCCCAAGGGUAUGGCUGUUCGCCAUUUAAAGUGGUACGUGAGCUGGGUUCAAAACGUCGUGAGACAGUUUGGUCCCUAUCUGCAGUGGGCGCUGGAAAUUUGAGGGGGGCUGCUCCUAGUACGAGAGGACCGGAGUGGACGCAUCUCUGGUGUACCGGUUAUCACGCCAGUGGUAUCGCCGGGUAGCUAAAUGCGGAAGAGAUAAGCGCUGAAAGCAUCUAAGCGCGAAACUCGCCCCAAGAUGAGAUUUCCCUGGGAACUUGAUUCCCCUGAAGGGUCGUUGAAGACCACAACGUUGAUAGGCCAGGUGUGGAAGCGCAGUAAUGCGUUAAGCUGACUGGUACUAAUUGCCCGUGAGGCUUGAUCC